UAGUACUGCGGUUGUGUACCGUACGCAUGCCUCUGAUACAUUCAAUAGGGUUCGAUUCCGGAGAGGGAGCCUGAGACUACUCUACGACAUCCAAGGAAGGCAGCAGGCGCGCAAAUUACCCAAUCCCAACACGGGGAGGUAGUGACAAUAUGUAACAAUAUACGGCCUUAUACGUCGUAUAAUUGGAAUGAGUACAAUUUAAAUCCCUUAACGAGGAACAAUUGGAGGGCAAGUCUGGUGCCAGCAGCCGCGGUAAUUCCAGCUCCAAUAGCGUAUAUUAAAGUUGUUGCAGUUAAAAAGCUCGUAGUUGGACCUUGGACCUGGACAGGCGGUCCGCCUCACGGCGAGUACUGUCUUGCUGGGUCUUUCCUCUUGGUGAUCUGUUGUUUCGGCAGCAGGGAACCAGGACCUUUACUUUGAAAAAAUUAGAGUGUUCAAAGCAGGCUCGACGCCCGAAUAUAUUAGCAUGGAAUAAUAAAAUAGGACGUGCGGUUCUAUUUUGUUGGUUUUUGGAAUCGCCGUAAUGAUUAAUAGGGACAGUCGGGGGCAUUAGUACUCACAUGCUAGAGGUGAAAUUCUUGGAUUUUGUGAAGACUAACUUCUGCGAAAGCAUUUGCCAAGGAUGUUUUCAUUAAUCAAGGAACGAAUGUGAGGGUAUCGAAAACGAUAGAUACCGUUUGUAGUCUUAACAGUAAACUAUGCCGACUAGGGAUCGGUCGAUGUUAUCUUUUUGACUCGAUCGGCACCUUUACGGGAAACCAAGUGAUUGUGGGAUUACAACA
rnacentral:rRNA from 1 species